UAGUCCACGCCCUAAACGAUGUCUACUAGUUGUUGGUGGAGUAAAAUCCAUUAGUAACGCAGCUAACGCGUGAAGUAGACCGCCUGGGGAGUACGGUCGCAAGAUUAAAACUCAAAUGAAUUGACGGGGGCCCGCACAAGCGGUGGAUUAUGUGGAUUAAUUCGAUGCAACGCGAAAAACCUUACCUGGCCUUGACAUGCCACUAACGAAGCAGAGAUGCAUUAGGUGCUCGAAAGAGAAAGUGGACACAGGUGCUGCAUGGCUGUCGUCAGCUCGUGUCGUGAGAUGUUGGGUUAAGUCCCGCAACGAGCGCAACCCUUGUCGUUAAUUGCCAUCAUUUAGUUGGGCACUUUAACGAGACUGCCGGUGACAAACCGGAGGAAGGUGGGGAUGACGUCAGGUCCUCAUGGCCCUUAUGGCCAGGGCUUCACACGUAAUACAAUGGUCGGUACAGAGGGUUGCCAACCCGCGAGGGGAGCCAAUCCCAGAAAGCCGAAUCGUAGUCCGGAUUGCAGU
rnacentral:rRNA from 1 species